CAGUCUCAUUGCAUUCACUUCACUGCUGCUGAAAAGCAGUGAAGACCUAUAUUCUUUGUAAGGCCAGUAACGUGCUGUAGGCAAUUUUUAUUAGAGAAAAAUAUGCAUCUAAUAAAAAUCUGUCCCACUGUGCACAAAGGUUGAGCAAACAGGCAUGUGAUUUGCAUUUUCUGGACCCUGAAAUCUGUCUGGCAUGAUAAGCUAUGCAGUGAGAUGCAUGCAGCCCAUCACCCUCCCAAACCCACUGCUUCAUUCUAUCUUACCAAUGCCCUGCAAGUGGAUCACAAAGACUGUAGAGAUAAUAAAUUACCAUGUUCAUAAAAGCAAAAGAAAUUGAGUAGAGUGGUAAUGCUACAUUUCUAACUGAAAACAGUUAUUUUCCCUCCCUUCCUUCCUUCCUUCCUUCCUUCCUUCCUUCCUUCCUUCCUUCCUUCCUUCCUUCCUUCCUUCCUUCCUUCCUUCCCUCCCUUUCCAUUCAUUCCUUCCUUCCUUCCUUCCUUCCUUCCUUCUUCCUUCCUUCCUUUCCUUUCCUUCCUUCCUUUUCCUUUCCUUCCUUUCUCCUUCCUUUCCUUUUCCCAUUUUUUUCUUCUUCUUUCCUUUCCUUCCUGUCCUCCUUCCCUUUCCUUCCCUUCCUUCCUUCCUUCCUUCCUUCCUUCCUUCCUUCCUUCCUUUCCUUCCUUCCUUCCUUCCUUCCUUCCUUCCUUCUCCUUUCCUUCCUUCCUUGCCUUCCUUCCUUCUCCUUCCCUCCCUCCCUCCUCCCCUUCCCUCCCUCCCUCCCUUCCCUCCCUCCCCUCCCUCUCCCUCCCUCCUCCCUCCCCUCCCCUCCCUCCCUCCCUCCUUCCCUCCUUCCUUCCUUCCUUUCCUUUCCUUCCUUCUCCCUCCCUCCCUCCCUACCCUUCCCCCUCCCUUCCCUCCCUCCCCUCCCUCCCUCCCUCCCUCCCUCCCUCCCUCCCCUCCCUCCCUCCCUCCCUCCCUCCCUCCCCCCUCCCUCCCUCCCUCCCUCCCUCCCUCCCCUCCCUCCCUCCCCUCCCCUCCCUCCCUUCCCCUUCCUUUCCUUCCUUCCUUCCUUUCCUUCCUUCCUUCCUUCUUCCUUCCUCCUUCCUUCCCUUCUUCCUUCCUCCUCCCUUCCUUCCUUCCUUUCCUUCCUUCCUUCCUCCUUCCUUCCUUCCUUCCUUCCCCUCCUCCCUCCCUCCCUUCCCUCCCUCCCUUCCCCUCCCUCCCUCCCCUCCCUUCCCUCCCCUCCCUCCCCCUCCUCCCUCACCUCCCUCCCUCCCCUACCGCUCCUCCCUCCCUCCCCCUCCCUCCCUCCCUCCCUCCCUCCUCCCUCCCUCCC
rnacentral:lncRNA from 1 species